UUAUCUCCUCUCUCCAUCUCUUUCUCUCUCUCUUUCUCUCAUCACUCUUUAUCUCCUCUCUCCCUGUCUCACUCUCUCUCUUACACACACACACAAAUACAUACACAGAUCAAAAUUGAACAUACAAUGUACCAGCUUGCUUUUUUGCCCUCCUGCUCACCUGUGUUUCACACAACCUCUGGAAACCACUCAGCGAGGGAAGCGUGCCGUAUCCCUGAAUGGAUUCUUUGGAUCUACUGGCUCUGGAAAACCUGCACUUACCUGCCAACAGGACCAGAAGGUGA